CAACAUUUUUUAAGGUGCUGAUGUCUGCCUUGCACAAGGGAGACUGCAAAAUGCCUCAUGGAAGGGCUGAGUCAUAGAAAUUCAAAACAGACCAAAAUAAAUCCUGUGUCUGUCUCCAAAUCCCCUUAGUUCUUCAGAGAGGGUUCCUUCUGCUUCUCUAAAUCAUGUGGAUGGGCCUUGGAAGACUAGCUCUUGCCCACAGGGCAUUUCCCAGUCUGCUUUCCCAGCCAGGAGCCAAUUCUGACACCAUCCAAAAAUUCAGGUGGUUUAACUCAGGCUAAACUUCAAGGCUGAUCCUUCAUGAUGACACAGGGACCUCUAGAGACCCUUGAUUGCUUACACUGCAGCAAAUCAGCAGUCUCAGCAUUCAGGUCACUACUGUACAGUACCCCUCUCCUUCUCCCCGUGCACCAAUCCCAGCCAGGCAAUGAUAUCACGGAUGCACCAGUCAUUGGCAACUCUGAAGCAAGGCCACUCUGAAGUUGGCCCUGCUUUGAGCAGGGGUUGAAUCAGAUGACCUCCAGAAGCCCCUUGACUUGUGAUCAAUGGACUCCUAUCUCCCUGGAAACAGUAAGCCUGUAAUCAUGGGCAGAGACCUCUAAGCUCUCACAUUCACUACUGAGUUGACUUUUGCAGCUGUGCCUGUUGACUGCACUUAUUUUUGACUGAGAUCAGUCAGAAAGCUCACAGCACUGCUACUCAUCCAUCAGAAGUAUCAUCACCGAUAAAGACAGGACUCUAGGAAACUUCCAGCUGGUAUUUAAACAUACAAAACAGCUCUACCCUUGGGACCAGCAAGGAGAGGACCUGGCUAUCACCCACGCUAAGAUGUUCAGUGACUGACUGUGGUAAGGGUCCCACUGAAACUCCUGGUGGAGGAGUAUGCUGAAAAGCCCAUUCAGAGGAAUCUCCAGAUGUAUCUUCACUUUGUAGUCAGGGUAUAUACAAACACAAGUCAACAGAUACAAAAAAUCUUUUUUUUUUUUAAGGUUUUUUUUUUUUUUUUUUUUUUUUUUUUUUUUUUUUUUUUUUUUUUUUCCAAAACUGCUGAUUGCAACAUUGUUUUAAUACAUGAACAGAAUCUGUAAGGCUUUGGGCUUGAUCACUUUGUGAAGCCUUUGAACCUCUGCCUCUGUGUGGAAGAAUAAGAAAAUUGUUGAGUACUCACAGCUCUGCAAUUUUAAAUAAGGUUCGUAUUUUGCUAACUGCUUAUUCCUAAUCUUUGCAUUCGAGAAAGGUUAAUGGGAUCAUUGCAAGAUCAAAUGUUUAUAUGACUGUGGAUUAACCUUUAGUACUAACUCAGUUUCUUGCAAAUAUAAACUGUUCAGUAUGGAUACCUGCUAACCAUGCCGUAGCAAUACGGACAACAGUUCAAGCAUUCAUUAACUGAGUGCUAAAUUAUAGUGAUAAUCAUGUACUUUUCAAUCAUUUCAAUCCCUCCUUAUUGCUCAUUACAACACAAGCAUAAAUGACGCAUUCA
rnacentral:lncRNA from 1 species